GUUGAUUCUAAGAUUCUAAAGAUGAAGAGGACAGUGUGAGAACAAUGUAAUUAUUACUAGAGGUAGCCUCCCUGAUGAUGUGAGUAGCAGUCCAAUCAUCCUUGUUCCACAUCUAGUAUCCUCCUAUGAUCAUUUCACAGGUUCAGAUGAUAAGCAGAUGGCAGAGAAGAUGCAUCUGUGUAUCACACAGUGAGAGUCCACUUACACUUGGAGAUAAAAUGAAAGAAACAC